rnacentral:rRNA from 1 species
UACGUAGGGUGCAAGCGUUGUCCGGAAUUAUUGGGCGUAAAGGGCUCGUAGGCGGUUUGUCGCGUCGGGAGUGAAAUCCACUGGCUUAACUGGUGGCUUGCUUUCGAUACGGGCAGACUGGAGGUAUGCAGGGGAGAACGGAAUUCCUGGUGUAGCGGUGAAAUGCGCAGAUAUCAGGAGGAACACCGGUGGCGAAGGCGGCAUCCUGGACCAACACUGACGCUGAGGAGCGAAAGCCAGGGGAGCAAACGGG